AAGUCGUAACAAGGUUUCCGUAGGUGAACCUGCGGAAGGAUCAUUGAAAAAUGCAGCACCUCUUUGAGGUGUCUGCGAACCAUCUUGCGCCGGUCGCCAGACCGACGCUUUUCUCUUUAGAGGGCCUGAAUUAUUAGACUUAUGUUUGUUGUUUAGGAGGGUCUCUGGAAGUCGGGUUUUCCCGUCUUGCAGGUCCCGAAAAUAACUGAAAAUACAACUUUUAACAAUGGAUCUCUUGGCUCUC
rnacentral:misc_RNA from 1 species